ACCUGGAAGUGGAUUUGGGACUAUUAAUGUGCUUGUUUGCAGCUGUGGUCCCGUUUGUUAGUCUGGGGUCCCGUGUGUUCCAACUCCUUCUGCACACAGCAAGGACUACUUGGGACUACUAAUAUGUCCUCCUACACCUUUGUAUUACCUGGUAGUAUUUGGAACUAAAAAGUUCUUAAUCGCACCUGUGGUCCCUUCUGUUGUUACAGGAUCCCAGUGUUGGCCAACUCCCUUUGUAUUACAGCAGAGGGCAUUGGAUUGUUAAUAGGCUUAACUGUAGCUGUGGUCCCUUCUGUUAGUCUAGUAUCCCAAGCCUUCCAACUGCCUUUGUGUUACCUGGGAGUGUAUUUGGAACCGUUCAAUUGCUUAAUUGCAGCUGUUGUCUCUUCUAUUAGUAUAGUUUCCCAUGUCCUCCUAUUCAAUUUACAUUACAACAGAGGGUCCUUGGGAUUGUUAAUUGCUGCUGUUGUACCUUCUGUAAUUCCUGGGAUCCCAUCUCCUCCUACUCUGUUUACACUACCUGGGAGGAUUUUUGGGACUGUUAGAAGGCGCCACACAACUAAAUCGAGCAUUUUUUGUUAGUAUCGUUCCCAUGCCCUCCUAUUUUCUUUGCAUUACAACAGAUGGUACUUGGGACUGUUAAAGUACUUAAUUGCAGGUGUGGUCCCAUCCAUUAGUCUAGGAUCUCAUUCCCUUCUCCCUUUACAUUAUUGGGAGCAGAUACGGGAAUGUUAACGAGCUUAAUUACAGUUGUUGUCCCUUCUAUUAGUCUAGUUUCCAGUCCCUUCCAACUCCCUUUGCAUUACUUAGGAACAGAUUUGAGACUGUAAUAUGCUUACUUGCAGCUGUGGACCCUUCUGUUAGUCUAGCAUCCCAUGCCCUCUAACUUUCUGUCCAUUACAGCAGAGGAUAUUUGGGACUUUUAAUGGGCUUAAUUGCAGUCCUGAUCCCUUUUGUUAACCUAGGAUCCUAUGUCCUCCAACUCACUUUGCAUUACCUGAGGAUGUAUUUGGGACUGUUUAAAUGCUCAGUUGGAGCUGUGGUCCCUUUUGUGUGUCUAGUUUCCCAUGCCCUCCUACUCUUUUGCAUUAUAGCAGUGGGUACUUGGGGCUGUUAAAGUACUUAACACUUAAAGUGUAGUCACUUUUGUUGGUUUAGGAUCCCAUCCGCUUCUACUCCCUUUACAUUACCUGGGAGGUCUUUGGGGACUGUUAAAGUGCUCAUUUGCACCUGUGGUGCCCUCUGUUCGUCUAGGAUCCGAUGCCCUCUAACUCCCUUUGCUGUAUUACAGCACGUGGUACUUGGGACUGUUAAUGUGCUUAAAUACAGGUGUGGUCCAUUUUGCUAGUCAUGACCACCUCCUCCCUUUAUAUUACCUGGGAGCAGAUCUCGUACUGAAAGGUGCUUAAUUGCAGCCGUGUUCCCUUCUGUUAGUUUAGGAUUCUACACCUCCAACUCUGCAUUACAGCAGAGAAUACUUGGGCCUGUCAAAUGCUCACAGCUGUGGUACCUUCUGUCUUGUAGGAUCCCAUGCCCACCAACUCCCUUUACAUUAUCUGGGAGUAUAUUUGGGGAGGAUAAAGUGCUUAAUUUUAGCAGUGGUUCCCUUUGUUAGUAUAUUUUCCCAUGCCCUCCUACUGUCUUUGCAUUAUAGCAGAGGGUACUAGGGACUGUGAAUGUGCUUAAAUGCAGUUGUGGUCCCUCUUGUUAGUCUAGGGUCCCAUGCCCUCUCACUCCUUUUACAUUACCUCAGAAGGUACUUGGGACUAUUAAGGUGUAUCCCAUUCACUCACACCCUGUUAACGUUACAGUAGGGGUUUGCUGAAAACCAAGGCCCCCCCUUUUUUUGCAUUGUUAAUGUGCAUAAUUGUAUUUGUUCCUUUUUCUCUGCAGUAGAUAAGAUUUCACUAAUUUCCCAUGUAUUCAGUAGUGGAUGCACUUUAUUUAAGACCUUUGUACUAGGAUAAAGUGAACCAUGGUAAUUGACCACACUUUGUCUUUCAUUUAAGUCCUCUGUACUCUCUUGGAAUUAAUUACCUCAGUUACUUUUUUCCAGGACUAUUUGUGUGCAAAAUUCCAAUGAUUAUGGUCCUUCUCUUUAAAAUAAUUUCCCACCUUUUUUAUAUUACAUCAGGGGAUGCUAAUAUCUCAAAGUUCUUUUCUUGGAACUCAGUGUGCAUGUGCCCUCUUGAUAAGCUAAUAUCCUUACUUCUUAGUAUUAUAUGGGGGUACUGACCUACAGCCUUUCUGUUGGACAGUUAAGCCAAAUUGCACUGGGAUCCCACCCCCAUAACACCUUCUCUGUGUCAGGGGUGCUGACCAACUAUGACUGCUUCUCCUGUGCAGUUUAAAUGUGCAUAAUUAGAGCAAUCCAUGCUCCCUUAUGUUAGAGUAAGAUCUCAUUUCCUUGCCCAAUUUACAUUAUUCCAGGGGCUUCUGACUAGCCAAGAUUCACUCCCUUGGACUGUUUGUGCAUACUAAACAUUUGCUCUUAUACCUGUACACCAGGUAAGCAUCCUCCCCAUACUAUUUAUAUUCUAGCAGGAGGUGCCUACUACUCAAGAUAUUACACACUAAUGCAGUUUAAUGUGCACAACCUUGUUGUUUUGUACACACUCAGUUGUCCACAACUGUGCCUAAGUUCAGGACUUUGCACUUACUGAAACAGAGGUGACUGAUCACAUUAAAGCCUUUCUCUUGGGACUGUGGAUGUGUGUAGUUUCAGUUGUCCACUGUCCUUUGAGUUAACUUGGGUCCCUGACUCUUUUCAGAACCUCUAAGCUUUACUGCAUGGGAUACUGUCAAUUUAAGGCCUCUUUCUCAAACUGUUAAUGUACAUAAUGACAAUUAAAUUAGGAUUCUUACCCUUCACACUGCCUUUGAAGUACUGCAGGAAAUUCUGACCCAUAAGGUCCCAUUUCUUGGCCUGUUAAGAUGCAUGAUUGUAUUUGUCUGGGUUCCUGUGUACUAGAGAAGAACACCUCUCACCACUCCCUCUUAUCUAUUAUCUAUUACGCAGGGAGUGCCCCCUCUACAAGGCUGUUACACUUGAGCAGUCAAGGAACACAAUUGUAAUUGACCACAACCAUGCACCAUGGAUAUUAAUGUGCAUAACUGCACAUGGCUCAUCCCAUUUGAAUAAGGUACUACCCUCUCAGACCCCUUUUGUAGUAUAGCAGGGGUACUGAUCACUAAGGCCUUUAUUCAUGGCCUGUGGUUAUGCGUAAUUGCAUUUGUACAUGUUUCUGUACACUGAAUUAAGGACACCCCUCUCCCCACUCCCUUUACCUUUUAGCAGGGAGUGCCCAUUACUUUAAGAUCCUUAUAUUUGUACAAGGUACAUGGUUUUAAUUAACCAUACCAUAUCCCUUAGGCAUUAAUGUACAUAAUUGCAGCUUAGUUCGUCCUACCCUGUUGUAUGUCAUUGCAGUAUACCAAGGUUGCUGACCCCUAACUUGUCCUGUUAAUGUGCAUAAUUGCAUUUGUCUGGGUUCUUAGGCACUAGAUGAGGAGACACCACCCACCCCUACUUCUAAGCCUUCCAGUAGGUGGUGCCCAUUGCUAAGACAUUUACAUUUGGAUAGUUAAUGCGCAGAAUUGUAGUUUUCCACAACCCUGUCACUUCCAAAACUAUCAUACCUCCUUUGCACUGCUGCAGGGGAUACUCUUUUCUCCCAAAGGUCCUUGUAGCAAACCGCUAACAUUCAUAAUUGAAAUUGUUCUGUUGUCUUCAGUAGACUAAGGUCCUAUACCCUCACCUUCCCUUUGCAAUACAGCAGAGUGUGCUGAUGAACUAAGGCCCUCUUUUGGACUGUUAGUACGUGCAAUUGCAUUUUUUCCUGUUUUAUGUACUCAAUAAGGACCCUACCUACUUCCUUAGCAUGUUUAGCAGGUAGUGUCCACUAUUUAAAACUCUUUCACUUGGAAAGUUCAUGCGUAUAAAUGCAGUUUGCUAAGCAUGCCUUAUACUAGAACCCCUGUACCCUCUUUGCUUUGGAGUAAGGAGAUGCUAUUUUCCUAAUGCCCUUUCUUUUGGACUUUAAUGUGUAUAAUUGCAAUUGUCCAUCUUUUCUGUUGGACUAGGAUUGCAUCCCCUCAAACUCCCUUUGCAUCAGGGGCAUGUUAACCAUAAAUGAGCUCUUCCUGAGAGUAUUAAUAUACAUACUUGUAUUUGUUUGUGGAUUUGUGCAGUGUGAAAGGAUGCUUUAUGCCCCUACCAUUGCCUUUGGAUUGCUGCUGAGGACUGCUAUCAUGACCUCAGCUCUUGGACAAUUAAUAUGCCCCACUAGCAAUGAUGGGACCUAUGUACUCCCUUUGUAUACAUCAGGGGUACUGACUAAGGUCCCUUUCUUGGACAGUCAAUGGGCAAUUAUCUAUGUUCCCUUCUGUUAGAUUUAGGAUAACAUUCCCUUAAACCCCCUUUGCAUUACUAUAGUAAUUACUAUUACUAUAUUACUAUACUAUUAUACUUUGUGCUGACCACACAAAACUUCUCCUGGGACUGUUAAUGGGCACAAUGGCAAUUAGCAAUGAGUUUUUCCUCCCUGGCCUUGUUAGGCAAACAUUCCCAGCCCCAAUUUUGCAUGACAUAAUUUAAGUAUAAACAUUGCAGUAUGCUGUGAACUUGUCUAUCAAAUAGCAACCCAUACUCCCUCUCCUUUUGUAUUGCUCCUAUCUAUAAAAUUCCAAGUAGUCAUGGUCUUCCCCUUAUCCUCCCUCUUCCCAACCCGUGCUCACCCUUGGACCCUUCCUAUGGACCUUUGUCACAGUUUCAGGUGUUCAUCUAUUCAGCCAUUAAAUAAGAUUGUCCCUCCCCCCCCCUUUGCAUUAUUGCUGGGGAAUGUUGACUGGGCAAGGCCCUUGCUCUUGGACUUAAAACAUUAACAAUCCCUGUGUCAUUGCCUUACCCACUUUAUAUUGCUGUAAUGCCUCAGUUGUACUUUCCUUAGUCCCACCCAUCGGACAUGGACCCCUCCACUUCUUUGCAUUGUAUUGCUGACUACCCAAAGUCCCUUCUGUGUUAUUGACACAGUACUGAUUGUCCCAUUUUUCCGCUCAUCAGCCCACGAUUUUCCUACCACUUUGAUGUCAAGUGUGCAGUAUUGACUACCAAAAGCAGACCUGAAUUAAGUGGAUGGGCCUUCACUCCUUUUUCUGCAUUUGUUAAUGAUCCAAUUCCAGUUGUCACAUUCUGGGACAGGAACCGUCCCUACCCACCUUUGUUACUGCUUUACUGAGCAAAAUGCUCAAGGCAAGUCAGGCCUAGAAAGCCAGAUUGCUGCCCUUUAUUAUGGAUUUUCAAUAUAAGUAUCAGUUGAAAAUUGUCUCCCCAGGAAGAAAGGUUAGCACCAUCUGUGCAUUCUUCCUUCCAGAGCAGAUUGCCUGGCCAAGAAUCUCUCUUCCCCUCUUGUAUAUUGCUAGUGUACAGUGCCGGUUGCCAGGAUACAAUAAAAAAAAAAUGCUGUUUGCAAGAUGGAAUUGUAAACCUGGUCAUUUAAUUUUUGAAGUCCAAAAACCCAUUUAUACUAUGUACCUGAUGACCAGUGUCUCUCAUUUUACUAUGGGUGGUGGGUCUGUGGAUAGACCACUGUGAAUCUUGCUAUUUUAGUAUUCCCAAGAGUUCUAGAGCAGAACUCUUCAGACACAUAUCUUUGGGCUCUACCACCAUUUUAAAACCAUUCUUUAUUCGGGCUUUACCACCGUUCACUUUUAGAAAAACUACCUAAACUUUCUAAUCCUUAAAUUUCUUCAUCUGGAUCAUCAACCACACUUAUUUCAAGAAGAUUGCUGUAAAAGAAUGAACUGAGAGAACAUAUGCUGAGGCACUUUGGAAAACCAUAGUUCACUUUACCUGAUUAAUCUAUUACAUAAAUAAAAUGCACCCUGUUUAAUUCUGCUAAUUUAAAGUAGCCUGAAGCACUACACUGAAGUGAGGACUUAGAAAUGAUGGGACCAAUUUCCCUGUUUUAUAUUAAAGGAAAAAUAAGCCAAGAUCUAGUCAUUCUUCUGGACAUAAAUUUUCAACCGUGAGAUAGCUUCCUGGUAAAAUGAAUAAUAUCCUAGCCUCUAGUGUGCAGGGUGUGGCAGAGAAGUAUCUAAUAUGGAACUGCUGAAGCAAAUAACUAGUCAUCACAACAGCAGUUCUUUGUAAUCACUGAAAAAGGAUACUAUUCCUCUAACAAGGAUGUCAAAAGAUCGGCCCAGCUCAGGGUGCAGUAUGCACUACUAGCUCCUUGGACCGCUGUAAGAAGAGUCUCUGGCUCUUUAGAAUACUGGAUGAAUUCUGAGCUGGUUUUGUACCUCCAGUCAAGAGGAAGGAUGGAUCAACUUUAAGUGGAUUGAAGCCUGCACUAGACAGCAUCCAAAGGUUUCUCAGCAGUUCUGGUAACCUCCUGAGCCCUGUCUUUCUUCUCAAGGACAUUCAGAGCAUGUGAAACCUGAGGACUGCAAGUAGGUAUCUUCCUCAGAAGAAUAGGCUUGUUGCUCUAUAGUGUUAGUGACCCGUUCCCUUUGACGAUCCCUAGGUGGAGAUGGGGCAUGAGGAUCCUCCAGGGGAAAAGCUCACUACCACUGGGCAACAACCCUAGGCCAGGAGGUUCUACCAAGAUUCUUCCCUGGGCCCAGGGAGGAAGAUGAAGUCUCAAAACAACCACCACCCAUCAGAGGUGGGAGAACAUGGGCAACAAGUGCCACAUCUGUAACCUUGAUCAUGGGCAGAUCACCAUUUUGGACCCUCUGGUCCCCAGAGUCUUUCUUGAGGCCCUGUUGGGGAAUUUUGACAAUCAUUUACAUACUUCAAGAUGGCUUAGGAUGUCUUUGGGAUAAAACACAAAACAAGCUGUUUGAGAAGAUAAAUAGGAAUUGUAUACUUGCUGAUUAAUGGAACCUGACCAGAAAUGGCACAAAGUUUCUGUUGUCAGCUCCUGAUUGUUCCCUUCUUAUCUGCCAAAUCACUGUCUCCCAAAAGCAGUGCAGAGUGCAAGAAAGUGGAACAUACCAAAGGAAGAUCAACAUGCCUGGCAUGCUACCAUUUUAGAACAGCAGAAUGAAUGUGUAUGUCUUUGCUUGUCUAUUUCUUUCUUGAAUCUCUUUGGUUGUCUUUCUCUGUCUAAAGUGUGUCUUAGCCAUCCCAUGAUUCUCUUGCUAGUUUCUUCUCUGUAUCUUUGUCUCAUUUUGUUUUUUGUUCCUAAGAGUGGUCUGUGCCUUGUCUUAGAUGUCUCUCUCUAGUUUUUUUGUUGUUGUUGUUACUGAUUCUCUUUACUCUCCUAGAACUGGCUCUUCUUUCACUGUUCUUCCCUUUUUGUCUCUGAGUCACAUGCUGUGUGCUUUUUGUUCAUUUCUUGUUCUGCCUAUACCUCUCUUCUUUUACUGUUGUGAACUCUUGAUUGUUCGUCUUCCCUUCCCCUUGUUGUUGGUUUGACGUUUCACCUUUUUCUCAUUCUGGCUUCCCUUCUGCUUUUUCUACUCAUUGUCUCACAUUUCUCUUUUCUAUAUAUUUGUUCUGCCUCUCUUGGCCAUUUUCUGUCUUUUUUCCCCCUGCUAAGUGUCUCUUUGUUCUUUGUGAUUUUCCAUUUCAGCAUUCAUCUCUGUUCUUUGUGAUUUUUCAUUUCAGCAUUCAUCUCUGUUCUUUGUGAUUUACUAUUUCAGCAUUCAUCUCUGUUCUUUGUGAUUUACCAUUUCAGCAUUCAUCUCUGUUCUCUUGUUUCUUCUCUGCUUUUCCCCUUCUGCUUACCUUUGAGUAUUUCAGUCUCUAUAUGUGUCUGUGUUCCCCCCUCUUUGACUUUAUGCAGUCCUCUCUCCUUGCAUAUUUUUGUGCAUCUGUGUGGUCAUGUGUGUGUGUUUGUAACAAAGGGGUUUCCUAACCCCUUCCCAAUAGGUACAGAGUGCCAGCUAUCAAAAUCAUGCAGAGCUGUUCGUUAUGCCAGGACACCUUGUGAGAUGAUCUAAGACCUAUGAUGGACAGAAGGUGGAAGACCCAGAAUGGAUAGAAGGCCCAAUGGUUUGAGACUUGAGACCUGAGGACAAACAUGGAAAACCUGUGUUUCAAGAUAGAUGGAAUCCUCAGGCUUGAGACCAACAAAGCCCUGACAGCUAUGAUGUAAAAAGGUGGCUCUUGUUGGAGAGAAGACCUGACUGAGUUGGAUGGAAAGUUCAAAUCUUGAGUUAGAAGUCCAAAGACCCAGAGUGGGAGACUGUAGGCCUAAGUGUGGGGACCCAUGGAAGGCUUGAGACCUAAGACACAAGGUCUAAGACUUGAGAUAAAAACCUAAGAUCCAGGAUGGAAGGCCCCAGACACACAUAAAGACCCAGGACUCCUGCCUGUCUAAAUGGACAGAAGGCCGAAGAGAGAAAGAUGUCUCAAGGCUAAAUUAGGUGGGAAGCUGGAAGCCCAUGACACAGAAUCUGGGAAGAAUAGAAGCCCCAAGACCAAAGGAAAUCCCAAGAUGAAAACACUAAACCCUAGCUUCUUUCUAUUGCUGCCCUCCCUACCCCUUGACAUUUUCAGUUCUCCCUUUCCAGUUCUUAUGUUUUCAUUUAAGCCCACUUCUUUUGAGGAGCCCUUUUUGAUGUUGCUCUUACCUUAGGAAACGUAUCUUUAGAUUGGCAAUAUUAUGCUUGGGCCAGUCUUAAGCCAAAUUUUAUCACAGUUUUGAGCCAUUUAUUGUUUAUUUUUUAAAUUUCCAUUUCUCUUCACCUCUGCUCCUUGAGAGACACAUAUAGGUAACAUUGUAUUUCAGUCCUCCCUUUUCCUUAGAAGCUCUAGCCUGAUGAGCAAAGGCAAGCAUCAGGCUGUUGGGGGAAAAAAAGUGCCAGGCUAUCUAGAGGAAAUGUGAAGAGAUGUUCCAGGCCAAUGAGAAGAAUUAGACAAGAAAUACCCAGAUGUGCCAUCCUGUUGAGAAGCACCAGCCUGCAACACCUUUCUUCUUUGAGCUUGGGUGAGCAGGAUUCUUGGGGUUUGGGAUUCCUAGUAAUGGUUACAAAAUGAAUGAUUGGGCCUGGGAUGGAGUGAGGCUCCAAAGAGACAGUUUGAACUCCCUGCUUAUAGUAGUGGCCUAAUAAUUUGGUAGAUUGUGCUAGCACUGCUCCUGGGUUUAAUACCCACCUCUAGGCUUAAAGGUGAGAGAACUUGGGAAUAUUAGCAGGUUUAAUCCUUUCCUUGAUUUUUCCCCCCUUACCACGAGGGCAGAUAAUUUAAAUAACUGAGAAUAUAUGUGAAAGCACUGUAAAGCACAGAAAAAACAAGGCAUUCUCAUUAAUAGUAUAUUGGCAGCCAUGCACAGCUAACAUUUAAAGUGCACUGUCAGUUGUGAAGCAUUAUGUAAAUCAGGAGUCAUCACACACUUUCCAUAAAGGGUCAGAUGGUAAAUAUUUUAGGUUUUGUGGGCCAUAUGGUCUCUGACACAUUUUUUUCCUUUAUAACCCUUUAAAAAGGAAAAACUAUUCUUAGCUGGUGAACCAAGUAGAUUUAGUCUGGGGGCCAUAGUUUUUAUCACCCCUGAUGUAAAUACCAGGGACUAUGUGCUGAAUAAUAAUAUUUCUGUAUGCCUGUCCCUGUGUACUAAGGAUGCAAUAUUUAUUUAUGAUCACAUCCAGGUGACUUGAAGAAAAAUAUGUGAAUGUGCUUUGUAAACUAUAAAGCACUUAAAGAUUUAUGAGUUUCAGAGUUGAUGAAUGAAUAUUGAUUACAUAGUAUCUAUAUUCUAAAAGAAGCCUGAAUAAAGUACUUUGUCAAAACUAUAUAAUACUAUGCAGAUACUAGGAAUUGUUUGAAAAAUGAAUAACUCCUAUAUUUGUGGCUAUCGUGUUUCUGCUGCUCUGGUAAUUUUUAGGUAAAAAUACAGUAUUCCAGGUAGCAGAGAAGCAAACACAUGGAAACUGCUUUGAAACCAUAAAAUAUACUGCAAGCACAGGGUAUUAAACUAUUGUGAGCCCUUAAAAUGUGCCGGAUACCAUGGUAGGUGCUACAGAUGUCAAAGGGAAAAGAAGUGUUCUCAUUAUGGAAUUAAAAAUUUCAGAGUAUGAGGUGCAUGUUAAAGUGCUUUAUAUACUAAAGCACUAUAUAAAAGCCAGUGGGUUACAUGUUUAUGAAUGGAUGAAUAUUAAUUUCCUUUUAUGGGCCCGGUACUGUUUGGGUACUGUGAAAUCUAAAAUAAUGCUCCCAUGUAAUAAGAGGGAGGUUUAUGUCCGAGACUAUUUAGAUAUAAGGAAUUAGAUAUUGCUUGUUUUAAUCAAGACUUUACUGGUCAUGUCAAAUUAAAUGAUCAGUGUAUUUUACCAGGUGACGGGAAAAUGUAAUGAUUGAGAUCGCCCUUGCACUUUCUAAAGUGCUCUAUAAAUAUAGGACAUUAUCUAUUUUCUGUGUGAAUAAAACUUUCUGUGAGAUAGGCAUUUUCUGUACAAAAUUCUCAUUGUGUGCUUGACUAUGAUGAAGGUAGUAUAAACAGUUAUACAAACUGAGGGUUUAAAUACUUGUUGAAUGAAUGAAUAUCAUCAGUUGCUCACUAGGUAAACUCACUAUUAUAGGCACUAAAGAGAUAGACUUAUCAUUUCAUUGUGCUUACAGCUGAGAAUAAGGCAAUACAUGUGUAGUAUUUUGGAAACUCUAAAGCACCUUAUAAGUUUAACUACUUAUUUUCUAAUUUGGUGCUGAGUACUAGGCUUAUAAAAUUAUAUUGCAGUCAUCAUUAUACUAUGAAAAAAGUUGAAAAAUUUUUGAGGAAAAAUUACCUCUUGAACACUCUGAAUGUAAUAUAUAAAGGAUUAAAUAUCUGAUAAAUAUAAAACUGGAUAAUAAUUGUCUAUUAUGUGCCAAUCUCAUAAGUCAUUGGCGAUGUGAAAUUAGACCAUCUUUAUUGUGUCCUGGGUAGCAGCAGAUAAUGUAUAAAAUCAAUUUAUAAGUUUUAUACUGCCAAAACAAUAUCUGCUGAGUGAACAUUGAUUAUUUACUCUCUUUUAUCCCCAGAGAUAGCAAGUGGGGAUGCAAAAAUUCGUUAUCAGAGAUGUGCAAAUUUACAGAGCCUACUGUUCUAUACAGAUAUAAGGAAAUAAUUUGGCUUAAUGAAUGAUUACUGGUUACUUUCUAUGAGGCUCAGAACUGUCCAUGCCCUACGAUACGAAAAUGAUUUUAUCCUUAUGGGGUGUUCAUUGGAGGAAAUAAGCAAAUAGGUGGGAGAUCCAGACUAAAAGUUACUUAAGCACUGCAAAGCUUAUUUAAUAAAAACAUGGGGAAAAUGGAAUUGUGCCAGGCAGUAUGCUAAAUGCUGACCUCUGUGGAAAGAUAAAAUCUGAAUCAGAGGUGUACUUGCUCCCUGGCCUGGCUGAAGAGAUGGGAAAUAUUUUUAAAAAGCAAGGUGUUACAGUUCUCUCAGUCUUUAAAAUGCUGAAUGCUGAAGGUGGAAGUGAAUUCAAUCCACCCUGGUCUGGCUUGAGUCAUUAAAGGAGUAAAAAUAAAUGACUCAGGAGUAAAAAGCAAAUGGCUUUGUUUUUAGAUUCAUUUGAGAUGAAAGACCUCGUUCUAGGUCCUAAGAGAAGUGAAAUGGGCCAAGUCUAAAGGGCAUUAGAAUACAGAUUAUGGAUGAAGAUAAGAAAAUACUGAGUUUUGAGCAAAUAUUUGAGUGCCUGUUCUCCGGAACGUAUUAUGCUAGAAAAAUUAGUUAAGUGGGUCUGGUCCAGAAAAUGCACAUUGACAUGCCUUGGAGAUUAAAAAAAUAGAAAAAUAAGGCAUGGUUCUUUUAAUAUUAAAUGAAGACAUUAUUUCUAGUUCUAGAAAGUCUCAAUGUCACUUGCUCAUUGACCUAGUUUGAAGCCCGAAGACUGAUACAAGGGCGCUUAGGACUUGUCCUUUUAUUCGUUACUUUAAUACUCUGUUUUUAUUAUAGAUGAAUGAUUUAAGAUGAGAAUUAAGAUGAAAUAACUGGUUUUAAAAAUAUUUGCUCAUUGACCUGGCUUAGAGUCAGGAAGCCACUUGAGCAGAUUUUUUUCCCUACAUUUUCCAUAUUUUGUAAAAAUUUAUUUACCCUGAAUAAAGUACUGUUCUCAGAUGCUGAGAAUUAAGAAAUAAAAGUCCUAGACCAAAAUGUAAUUUAAUCUCAAUAGUCUAUGGUGGAAACACAAGAACAAAUUUAAUAAGAGACUGCAGUUCUUUUAUUACUUGAAUAAAUGUUAUUGAGCAGCUAGGAUAUUAAGACACUAAGAACAAGUGACCACCUUCUCUUUGGCAUGUUUUGUAGAGUGGGAAUAAGAGAGGGCUUUCUAUUAAUUCAUACUAAUACUGAAGGUGAUGUUAAAUUGGAACAGAUCUGGUAUAAAAUGCACUUAGUUUAUCUUGGAGAUGCAAUAAAACAAAACAACACAAAAAAUGGAAUGAAAUUCUUCCUUAAAUGGAAGUGUCUAUUUAAAGGUAUUCUGUUGCUAGACAGAAAACAAAAAAGAUCAUGACUGAAAGAAACUGAUUUUUUAUUAGCUUGGAGACUAGGAUAUAAGAGGUUACUGUUCAUUUCUUCAUUUAUGCAUUCUACAAGUAUGUUUGAGUGCCUUUUAUGUAUAAGGUUUUUUGCUAUGUUCCCAGUUCUCCUCAGAGACACGAAAAAAUGAAUGCUUUCCUAUAGAACUUUUAAAACUUUGCUUUUGGCCUGUUUUCUGAUUAGGGGCAUGGCUUAGUCCCUUAAUAAUGUUGUAGGUUUUAAUUCCUGUUCUGUGUUUCUUCUACCACUCUGGCCACUACAGUAAGCAGGGUUUUCUAUUGAGCUAGCUCUUUAAGUGUGAGGAACUGUCCUUAUAGUAGAAUUACUUUAUUUUUCUUGGCCCAUCCCUCAGAAAAAAUGGCUGUGACCACUGCUAGGCAGAAGGAGGGAUGAGAAACAACUAAUUCCCAAACCCCAGUCUCAUUGGUACCAGCCUUGGGGAAACACUCAUACUCAAGCCACAGUUGGUUUUGAAACACAUUUAUCAGUUUUAUUUGCUUUUAGUUCUUUACAUUUUACAUUCUGACAAAUAUACACUGCCUAAAUCUCUUUUAAGAACAAUCUUCAGAUGGUACAUAACAUAAUGGGAGAGACAUAAUUUCUCUUUUGCAACAGCUUUGCAACUUAAUCUUUAGAAAUCUCACCAUCAAAACAUGUUCAAGAAAGGAUCUCUUAUAGUGGAAUUAUGUCAGUGAAUAAAAAUAGCUUAAUUUUACCAUGUUUAAAAUUAUAAAAUAAUAGAAAUUGGAAGUAAUUGGCAAAAACUGGAGGUAAACAAUAAAAAAAUCCUCAAUCUAGCGCCCAACUGGGCUUUGACCUUUUCUAUUUUUAAAUCACUCACAGAGGGUGGGAUUAGGAGGAAGAGUGAAAGAGAAGGUCAAACCAGUUUUAAGGGCAGCCUGCUUGUGUUUUGGAUUGGUUUUAAGAACAUUACUACCUCCAAAUCAAACUAGGGGAUUGCUUUUUUUAGUUUAAUGCAAUUCCAAUAACUGGCCAUUGUUGAGAUGAAGACACAGUAGUUUUUGAGAAACAAUUUUGGACUAAAUGUUUAUCAACUAAAUACUAAUGUUUGGCUUUUAAUAUGUGGUAUCAGCUGGAUUCUGUAACACUCUUAUUUUCAGGUUGGGGUCGGGGAUUACAUUACUGGAAAUUGGAAAGGAGAAAGUAACUAAAAGCCUUCCUUUCACAGUUUCUGGCAUCUUAAGACUACUGCUACUGAUAAGAAUAAGAACAUGCUGCCAUCUGAUUUUUAUGGCAUAAAUGAAAUUGUGGACAAAUCCGUUUUUAAAGAAAAUGGCUUCGUCUCUACCUUUCUACCUAAAAAGGAAUCUAUGUCAAAUGCUCCAAUAAAUGGGAAGAUACACUUGGACUUGUGAACUGAUGUGAAAUGCAGAAUUUUUUAGCUUUGAGUGUUUUGAAGAUUGAAAAAUCUUGCUCAGCAUGGGUGACCACAAAAACAAUCUAAAGCCAUCUACAUGUCACAACUGAGAAAAAUUGGGGAAUGUUGUCUAAUGUCAAAUAAAAUGUACUGUUUUGAAA